UAAGCAAUUAACUAGAAAUACUUCAUCAAAUCCUUUCAAUUUAAAAAGAUAGCUUUUUCAGGAUUGUCAACAAAGCACCUUGGUCAAGUUUUUAAUCUUUAACAUCUUUUUACCUCUGUCAACUUUUAAAUCAUUGUCAUCUUUUUAAUCUUGUCAUCAUUUCAGCUUGGUCAUCUUUUUAAUCACUGUCAUCGUUUUAAUCUUUGUCAACGUUUUGCCGUUUUCAUCGUUUUGUCACAGUCAACUUUGUGACGUCAGCAGCCUAAUCAGCGUUUGUCAUCGUAGCGGCAGCAGAUCAGCUCUCCCACGUAAUUUUUCUAAUUUUUUCCAGUUAUUACUGGGCUUGAGGUUGAAGAAGGGCUCUGUUCCUACAAGAUGUGAUCCACUUGCUGCUUCGCCAAACGUAAGUACAUGCUUGAUACUUAUUUGAUGUAUGUACUCCAGAGGUUUCUUUGGUUAUAAUCUAUCUUCCCUCCUGUGUAAGGAAUGCUAAUGGCUGGAACUGAAUGAAUCCAAGCCUCUUCAGCAUUUGUCCGGUUCGAAUCGUGUAAUAUAUGGUACUGAGGUCAUUCAUUCAGCUCACAUCUUAGCUGCUAACGCCAUGUUAGCCGCUAGCGGCUAGCGCUAGCCCGCCACAUGACAUUUAGUACAACUUGGGUUUGGCUGCAAUAGUAAGUUGCGAGAGUCAGCUGUUUGUCUAAUUACUACCGAGCCUUUUGUGUGUAUGUCGUAGCCCAAGUAGACCUGUGAAUUUGGGUUAUGGCAAGUUCUAUCUAAGUAUAACAUGUAUGUUGUUGCUGUCUUCUCGUAAAUGUUGCUUAUCUAGUCAGCUAGCUGUAAAUGUGACAUUGAGGUUGCUUCUCAAACUGACACACCACUGCACGCUGUGGGCACACGGCUACCUUGUAGAGGAGUUGUUGUUCACCUCAAGAACAAAGGUGCAGAUUAUGUGGAAAACUUCAAUAAAGUUCUGCUGGACCCAGGUCAUUAUAUGGAGGACCUUGUGAACAUCCCUGUCCCACCGGCCCUCUGAGCAGAAUUUGAGCAGCCUGACAGAAAGGAGAGUGGUGUCAAGGAAAACACCUGCAUCCUCCAUCUGUACAGCAGCUGCACUGCUUCCGAUCAAAAUGUCUUCUAAAACGCAAUGAGCACAACAAAGAUCCUCACAUCUCCACAGCCAACUGCCCACGACUGUACCUGUUCCACUCCAGAAACUACAUAACUAUGAAUACUAUCCAUUCAUUCCGUGGCCUGCACAUUAAACUGCAAAGGUGUAAUCCUUCUGGAGCAAGAGGAACUCUGUCCCAAGUCAAAAUGAAACACAAAAUCCUACAAAAUGUCACUGAUGGAUUGAUUGUAUUAUUGGACCCUCCAGAAAACACACAGUCUGGAACAUUGUGUGAAGCAAUGUAAAUAAUAUUCCAAGAGUCUCAAGAGUCUACCAUCUCUGUGGUCUACUUGGUUCACUACUGGAUCCUCUUGGUCAUCUUCAGCAGGACAAGGAGGGUGGCUCGCUCGCUAUUGUGGCAAUGUUGUGAAGGACAACACAAUCCACUAUAUUGUCACAUGCCCUCUCUGGACUGACGUUGAGGCCACGUAGACACUGGAACCUCGCCUUCAGGAUGCCUGUGGUCGUCUCCACCCUGGCCGUGUUCUGCUGUGGGCCCAGUUGAACCGUGUCUGUGGUCCAGGCUCAGGUUCAGGAUAGGGUGUCAUUAAAUAGGGCAGACAAGGGCACCCUCUGUCCCACAGCAAGUAGCUAUUGUAGUGUUCUGUAAUGAUUGAAAUGUGUAAAACAAUAAAAGAAUACAGUAAAAACAUGAACUUGUGUAAAUUACAACAUACCCUGUUGAAACAUGUGACAUAGUGAUGAUUCCCUGAAGAUUCUGGAACCAUGCACUGACCCUGAUCAUUUGGCUUCAACGUU